rnacentral:misc_RNA from 1 species
GAUGAAGAACGCAGCGAACGUGCGAAACGUAAUGUGAAUUGCAGAAUUCAGUGAAUCAUCGAAUCUUUGAACGCAUCUUGCGCUCCUUGGUAUUCCGAGGAGCAUGCCUGUUUGAGUGUCGUGAAUACUCUCAACUUCAAACCUUUUUUCGGAAAGGGAGGAAGGUUGGACUUGGGUGUUUGUUGAAGUGCGAGCUUCGACUCAUCCUAAAUGCAUUAGCGAUCUGCCUCGAUCACACACAAUGUGAUAAUUAAAACUAAAGCAUUGUUUAAUGAUCAAGUCGAGACUGCUUCUAACUGUCGCAAGACAAUAACGUGCAUACAUUUGUGCAUGUCAUUUGACCUCAAAUCAGGUAGGACUACCCGCUGAACUUAAGCAUAUCAAUAAGCGGAGGA